GACAGAGGGGGCGAGCGUUACCCGGAUUUACUGGGAGUAAAGGGCGUGUAGGCGGUCUCUCAAGUCCGAUGCUAAAGACCGAAGCUCAACUUCGGGGGUGCGUUGGAUACUGUGAGGCUAGACGGUCGGAGAGGGUAGCGGAAUUUCCGGAGUAGCGGUGAAAUGCGCAGAUACCGGAAGGAACGCCAAUAGCGAAGGCAGCUACCUGGACGAUUUGUGACGCUGAGGCGCGAAAGCGUGGGGCGCAAACCGG
rnacentral:rRNA from 1 species